ACAUUCUAUGCAUUUCUAAUUUGCAAUUUGAAUCGGGAGAGAAUAAUUGCAAUAGAUAAGGUAUUUGAAACAUAUCAAUUCGAUAACCGGGAGGUUGAGAGUUGGGUGAGAGUUUACCGAUCCUUUGUGCUUUUGGGAGUUAUAGGUUAGAAGUUGACCGGGGACGGCAACUAUGACCCGUAAUCUACCGUUCUAGUCGUCCGGGAGGGGGCUAGAACUAGUUGGGAGAUCACUCUAGAUAAU
rnacentral:lncRNA from 1 species